GUGAACCUUUACUAUAGCUUGACACUGAACACUGGUCCUUGAUGUGUAGGAUAGGUGGGAGGCUUUGAAGCGUGGACGCCAGUCUGCGUGGAGCCAUCCUUGAAAUACCACCCUUUAAUGGCUGGUGUUCUAACGUAGACCCGUGAUCCGGGUUGCGGACAGUGUCUGGUGGGUAGUUUGACUGGGGCGGUCUCCUCCCAAAGAGUAACGGAGGAGCACGAAGGUUGGCUAAUCCUGGUC
rnacentral:rRNA from 1 species